CUACGGGGGGCACCAGUUAAGAAUCUUCCGCAAUGGACGAAAGUCUGACGGAGCGACGCCGCGUGGGUGAAGAAGGCCGAGAGGUUGUAAAGCCCUUUUCUGCUUGAGGAAUAAGCCUGGUAGGGAAUGACCGGGUGAUGACGGUAGGGCAGGAAUAAGCCCCGGCUAAUUACGUGCCAGCAGCCGCGGUAACACGUAUGGGGCGAGCGUUGUUCGGAAUCAUUGGGCGUAAAGGGCGUGUAGGCGGAAAUGCAAGUCUGGUGUGAAAGACCGCAGCUCAACUGCGGGGACGCGCUGGAAACUGCAUAUCUCGAGUUCCGGAGGGGGAGUUGGAAUUCCUGGUGUAGGGGUGAAAUCUGUUGAUAUCAGGAAGAACAUCGGUGGCGAAGGCGAACUCCUGGACGAGAACUGACGCUGAGGCGCGAAAGCGUGGGGAGCGAACAGGAUUAGAUACCCUAGUAGUC
rnacentral:rRNA from 1 species